rnacentral:rRNA from 1 species
UACGGAGGGUGCAAACGUUGCUCGGAAUCAUUGGGCGUAAAGCGCACGUAGGCGGCCUGAUAAGUCGGGUGUGAAAGCCCUGGGCUCAACCCAGGAAGUGCACUCGAAACUGUCAGGCUUGAAUAUGGAAGAGGGUCGCGGAAUUCCCGGUGUAGAGGUGAAAUUCGUAGAUAUCGGGAGGAACACCAGUGGCGAAAGCGGCUUCCUGGUCCAGCACCGACGUCAGGCACGAAAGCGUGGGGAGCAAACAGG